ACAUCAAUCGUCGUUGUUCAAUGAACUAAUUUAACUCUUGCUUCUCCACCUUCCCUCCCAAAUCGUUUGUGCUUCCACACACGUAUACAAGAGGGAGUCUCUGCCUCUCUUCGUUUUCAAUUUGACCAAGAUUAGGUUUAGUUCUUCCCCAAAUACACAAACAAUCACUCAAUUAGAAACAAGAUUAUCAUGUAAAACACCAAUUUCUAUUAGUAGAUUCCUCUUAAUCGAUUCAAUUUCGCUUUUUUGUGGCCCAUGAACAUUUUAGGGUUUCCCGCACACUUGACAUAUUGAAAAGAACACACACAUAGAUUCUAAGGGGCAUGAGGUUUGGAAGUGGUGAAUUUUCGUGAAUUCAGGUGUGGAGGGUAAGUGAGAAUUGAGAAGAUGACGGAUGCUCGGUUACAAUGGUUACAGAGCCGGAGGGUACGACGGAUGCGUGUUCGGAAGAUGGUGAUUUUGAGAGGGGGUUGGAGGAGUUUUGCCAAUUAUCAGGUUUAAGUUUUGCUCUUCUAUUCCAGCUGAUCAUAUUUAAAGGAGGGUAAGAUCUGAUUUGGUUAUUACAUCAUUGUCGUCACCGGGGAGAGCUGAUUUGGAGAAUAAGCGUUGUUUUGGUGACAUAAGAAGGUUCAAUGGUUUAUAGAUUUAGGGAUUAUGCCUUACCUUCUUCUACAGUAGAUGAUUUUUGACGUGUAACCACCAAUUCCAGCAGAAGCAAAGGUGUUGAACUGAUUGGCGACGAAUCAGAUUCUGGUCAAGACUAGGGUACUUCGUGCCUCGCAAUAACUCCGGCUACGAGCUUGGGCGCAACAGAGGUGACAGAGACGUUAGGGUCUUCCUAUGGGAUAAAUGGUGGUGGCCAGCUUACGGCUAUAAGGGCGGUGACCGGUGGUUCGAUUUUGGUGAUUUCAACUAUGAAUCAUGGUCUGUGGUUAAGUGCAUGGCUUAUUGAUUUGGGAUCACUUUUAUCCGUUCGAUUUUUUGAUUGCGGAGCUUUGGGAUUGAGAAGUAUUGUAACAAGCUUUGAUCAGUAAUGGAAAGCUUUUAUCACAUACUUUGCUAUUUCCAUCGUUUUUAGAUUGUUAUUAGUUACCAAGUACUUCGUGUUGCUCUUUGCUCCAACUGAAAAAACUGUCUCUUGUUAUUCAGAAAGUUACUGCACUAACGGGAAUUUUGGUCAUUGUUCAUUUCUUUAUUUUUUUUCCUUGGAUAAUAUUCUU
rnacentral:lncRNA from 1 species